GGCCAAAGGAUAAGGUUAAUCGGGAAUACUGGGCGUAAGCGCACGCAGGCGGUUUGUUAAGCUAGAUGUGAAAGCCCCGGGCUCAACCUGGGAUGGUCAUUUAAAACUGGCAGACUAGAGUCUUGGAGAGGGGAGUGGAAUUCCAGGUGUAGCGGUGAAAUGCGUAGAUAUCUGGAGGAACAUCAGUGGCGAAGGCGACUCCCUGGCCAAAGACUGACGCUCAUGUGCGAAAGUGUGGGUAGCGAACAGGAUUAGAUACCCUGGUAGUCCACACCGUAAACGCUGUCUACUAGCUGUUUGUGAUUUUAAAUCGUGAGUAGCGAAGCUAACGCGCUAAGUAGACCGCCUGGGGAGUACGGCCGCAAGGUUAAAACUCAAAUGAAUUGACGGGGGCCCGCACAAGCGGUGGAGCAUGUGGUUUAAUUCGAUGCAACGCGAAGAACCUUACCUACACUUGACAUGCAGAGAACUUUCUAGAGAUAGAUUGGUGCCUUCGGGAACUCUGACACAGGUGCUGCAUGGCUGUCGUCAGCUCGUGUCGUGAGAUGUUGGGUUAAGUCCCGCAACGAGCGCAACCCUUGUCCUUAGUUGCCAGCAUUAAGUUGGGUACUCUAAGGAGACUGCCGGUGACAAACCGGGAGGAAGGUGGGGACGACGUCAAGUCAUCAUGGGCCCUUACGUGUAAGGGCUACACACGUGCUACUAAUGGCAUUUACAGAGGGGAAGCGAGACAGUGAUGUGGAAGCGGACCUCUUUAAAAGAGUGUCGUAGUCCGGGAUUGGAGUCUGCAACUCGACUCCAUGAAGUCCGAAUCGCUAGUAAUCGCAGGUCAGAAUUACUGCGGUGAAUACUGUUCCCGGGCCUUGUACACACCCGCCCGUCAACACCAUGGGGAGUGGGGAUGCAAAAUAAAGUAGUUAUCCUAACCCUUCCGGAGGACCAUUACCCCUUUUGUGUUUCAUGACUGGGGGGGGAAUUCGUAACAAAGGUAACCAAUGAAGGUU
rnacentral:rRNA from 1 species